rnacentral:tRNA from 1 species
GGGCGAGUGGCGCAGUUGGUAGCGUACUUGAUCGACAUUCAAGAGGUCGCGGGUUCAAGUCCCGCUUCGCCCA